rnacentral:rRNA from 1 species
UGAUCAUGGCUCAGGAUGAACGCUAGCUACAGGCUUAACACAUGCAAGUCGAGGGGCAGCACAGGUAGCAAUACCGGGUGGCGACCGGCGCACGGGUGAGUAACGCGUAUGCAACUUACCUAUCAGAGGGGGAUAACCCGGCGAAAGUCGGACUAAUACCGCAUGAAGCAGGGGCCCCGCAUGGGGAUAUUUGCUAAAGAUUCAUCGCUGAUAGAUAGGCAUGCGGUUCCAUUAGG